rnacentral:rRNA from 1 species
CACGUAGGGCGCAAGCGUUGUCCGGAAUCAUUGGGCGUAAAGAGCUCGUAGGCGGUUUGUCACGUCUGCUGUGAAAACUCGGGGCUUAACCCCGAGCUUGCAGUGGAUACGGGCAGACUAGAGGUAGGUAGGGGAGAAUGGAAUUCCCGGUGUAGCGGUGAAAUGCGCAGAUAUCGGGAGGAACACCGGUGGCGAAGGCGGGUCUCUGGGCAGUAACUGACGCUGAGGAGCGAAAGCGUGGGGAGCGAACAGGG